rnacentral:misc_RNA from 1 species
GGGAAAGCAUACAAGACGAAAGAGAAGGGAUGAUUAUUCACUUUAUUAUGGGGUGUAAUGGGGUGGGGGAUUUGCUUAAAUCUAACAGAAUCAACUGUUACAUUUCCAGGAGGCUUACUUUCGAAGAUGCUUCAUAUUCAAUGCCUAAUAUCGCCUCCACGCUAGCUCUUUUAUUGCUUCAGGUAGAGCAUGCUCCUUCUGGACACUCUGAACCCAUCUCGAAUUGAUGUGAACACGCUCGAUGCUUUGCUUCAAUGUUCGGGCCAUCGAUGGCUUAACACGGCUUGCAAAGAACUCCUCAACUUCCUUAGCCUUUUCAAACGAGGCAAACGGGGAGACUGUGGCACUGACAAAGCGUCCAAUCAGAAACCCAGAGUCGAAGAUUUUUGAGAUUUCUUCCCACUUUGUCUUCAGCCAUGUCCAAGCUGUUUC